rnacentral:rRNA from 1 species
UGGGGAAUAUUGGACAAUGGGCGAAAGCCUGAUCCAGCAAUGCCGCGUGAGUGAUGAAGGCCUUAGGGUUGUAAAGCUCUUUUUACCAGGGAUGAUAAUGACAGUACCUGGAGAAUAAGCUCCGGCUAACUCCGUGCCAGCAGCCGCGGUAAUACGGAGGGAGCUAGCGUUGUUCGGAAUUACUGGGCGUAAAGCGUACGUAGGCGGUGACUCAAGUCAGAGGUGAAAGCCUGGAGCUCAACUCCAGAACUGCCUUUGAAACUAGGUCGCUAGAAUCACGGAGAGGUGAGUGGAAUUCCGAGUGUAGAGGUGAAAUUCGUAGAUAUUCGGAAGAACACCAGUGGCGAAGGCGGCUCACUGGACGUGUAUUGACGCUGAGGUACGAAAGCGUGGGGAGCAAACAGGAUUAGAUACCCGGGUAGUCCCUGAGCGGGCUGGCAAGGCGCAU